GUACGACUGCUGAGGUCCACUCUAGGCCCUGCUUGUCUGGGGUGCACCUCUAGCAGCUGUGGCACAGUGAGGGAUGCUACCCGUUUCUUUUUCUGCUAUCUUUGUCCCAGGAUGAUGCCUGCCAAAUGUCAGUCUUUUGGAUAUAGAGGGGUCAGGGAGCUGCUUGAGGAGACAGUCUGUACUUUUUUGGAGCUCAAUUGCUGAGCUGUGAGCUCUGUUGUUCAUUCAGGGCUGUUAGGCUGCUAUGUUUGAUUCUGCUGCAACAGAGCUCAUUUAAAAAAACCCUUUUUUUCUCAAAUGCUCUGUGUUGGGGGGUUCGGGCUUUAUUUUUCGAUGUCUGAUGAGGUGUCCUGCCCAGCUAGAAGGCAGACUAGCCACUGUUUGGCUGCCGAGGCUCCGCCCUGCUGUUGUGUGAUUCGCCCUGUUCCUGCAGGCUCUGCUGUGGUCUCCACCACGCCCUGCAGCGGAGUCUCUUCGUUGUAGCGUAUUGCCUCAGCAACGGCAGGCUGCAUCAGCAGUGGGCGUGUAUCUCAGUAGGGACGGGUUGCCUCGGCAACGACUGGCUGCAUCAGCAGUGGGCGUGUAUCUCAGUUGGGGUGGGUUGCCUCGGUAGUGGUGGACGCCCCUCCCCCACCGAGCGUCUCGGACCGUCUGCUUGGGAUAGUUUGAAAUCGCGGUUUUGUUCGUCCCACUGGGUGUCCCAAACGAUCUGUCCCUGCAAUCCCCUGGGCUGGCCUACUGUCCAAGUCUCUUUCAGUCUCAAGUCCAGCCCUCUCAAGUCUCAGCACAUCUCCUAUAUGCCUGGCACUGGGCCAAGUACUAAGGAAGCCACCCGGAAUUAUGGGAAUUAA
rnacentral:lncRNA from 1 species